rnacentral:rRNA from 1 species
CCUACGGGAGGCAGCAGUGGGGAAUCUUGCGCAAUGGGCGAAAGCCUGACGCAGCCAUGCCGCGUGAAUGAUGAAGGUCUUAGGAUUGUAAAAUUCUUUCACCGGGGACGAUAAUGACGGUACCCGGAGAAGAAGCCCCGGCUAACUUCGUGCCAGCAGCCGCGGUAAUACGAAGGGGGCUAGCGUUGCUCGGAAUUACUGGGCGUAAAGGGAGCGUAGGCGGAUAGUUUAGUCAGAGGUGAAAGCCCAGGGCUCAACCUUGGAAUUGCCUUUGAUACUGGCUAUCUUGAGUAUGGGAGAGGUUAGCGGAACUCCGAGUGUAGAGGUGAAAUUCGUAGAUAUUCGGAAGAACACCAGUGGCGAAGGCGGCUAACUGGCCCAUUACUGACGCUGAGGCUCGAAAGCGUGGGGAGCAAACAGGAUUAGAUACCCUGGUAGUCCACGCCGUAAACGAUGAGUGCUAGUUGUCGGCAUGCAUGCAUGUCGGUGACGCAGCUAACGCAUUAAGCACUCCGCCUGGGGGAGGUACGGUCGCAGAUUAAACUUAAAUAGAAGUAGACGGCGUGAGACGUGCCGAAGGACGACGACGAGGGAGUAGG